rnacentral:rRNA from 1 species
AUGGCGCCCGACGCUGUCGCCGUUCUCGCAGAAGAGGCCAACGCCGUCCUCGAGUGCCUCCGCCACAAAAAGCCUGUUCUCCCGCACAUCCCGAUCAUCUCUGCGCUCUGCAUGCAAGGCGGUGUCCACAUCGAGCUGGGCUUCUUCACCUUCCACCAGGACCUCGUCAUCCGCGGGGUCGCCCACUUCCUCGACGGUGUCGGCAAGUUCGUAUUCGACGACCGCAUGCAUGCCCUGCUCCAGAGGUCCGAGACUGGGCUGAUUCUCCACCCGCCGGAGCUCACGGCGCCCUACACCUCCCAACUAGUGGCCGUGCCGGAGGACUGCCGCUCCAUGUUCAUCACCUUCUCCAAGGGAAAUGCCAUCCACCGCGAGGAGAUCUUUGAGUACUUCAGGCAUCCACAUAGAUCUACUAAGAUCUGCAUGGAUGAUCCAUGA